UACGUAGGGGGCGAGCGUUAUCCGAAUUUAUUGGGUGUAAAGCGUGUGUAGGUGGUUUAAUAAGUCUAAGGUUUAAUGCAGAAGCUUAACUUCUGUUCGCCUUAGAAACUGUUUUACUUGAAUGCGGUAGAGGCAAGUGGAAUUUCUAGUGUAGCGGUAAAAUGCCUAGAUAUUAGAAGGAACACCAGUGGCGAAGGCGACUUGCUGGGCCGUGAUUGACGCUGAGACACGAAAGCGGGGGGAGCAAAUA
rnacentral:rRNA from 1 species